CCUACGGGGCGCAGCAGUGGGGAAUAUUGGGCAAUGGGCGCAAGCCUGACCCAGCAACGCCGCGUGAAGGAAGAAGGCUUUCGGGUUGUAAACUUCUUUUAAGGGGGAAGAGCAGAAGACGGUACCCCUUGAAUAAGCCACGGCUAACUACGUGCCAGCAGCCGCGGUAAUACGUAGGUGGCAAGCGUUGUCCGGAUUUACUGGGUGUAAAGGGCGUGCAGCCGGAGAGAUAAGUCAGAUGUGAAAUCCACGGGCUCAACCCGUGAACUGCAUUUGAAACUGUUUCCCUUGAGUGUCGGAGAGGUAAUCGGAAUUCCUUGUGUAGCGGUGAAAUGCGUAGAUAUAAGGAAGAACACCAGUGGCGAAAGCGGAUUACUGGACGAUAACUGACGGUGAGGCGCGAAAGCGUGGGGAGCAAACAGGAUUAGAUACCCGAGUAGUC
rnacentral:rRNA from 1 species